rnacentral:rRNA from 1 species
GUGAAGUCCGGGCAGGCAGGGGCGGUACUGCGGGGGGGGCAAACGUUGGUCGUAAUCAUUGGGCGUAAAGGGCAGGUAGGCGGUCUGUGAAGUCGGGGGUGAAAGCCCUGGGCUCAACCCAGGAAGUGCACUCGAAACUGGCGGGCUUGAAUAUGGAAGAGGGUCGCGGAAUUCCCGGUGUAGAGGUGAAAUUCGUAGAUAUCGGGAGGAACACCAGUGGCGAAGGCGGCGACCUGGGCCAAUAUUGACGCUGAGGUGCGAAAGCGUGGGGAGCAAACAGGAUUAGAUACCCGAGUAGUC